CACGUAGGGGGCGAGCGUUGUCCGGAUUCAUUGGGCGUAAAGGGCGCGCAGGCGGCCCGGAAAGUCGGAUGUGAAAACUCGAGGCUCAACCUCGAGCGUGCACCCGAUACUGCCGGGCUUGAGGCAGGUAGGGAGAUCGGAAUUCCUGGUGUAGCGGUGAAAUGCGCAGAUAUCAGGAGGAACACCGGUGGCGAAGGCGGAUCUCUGGGCCUGUCCUGACGCUGAGGCGCGAAAGCUAGGGGAGCGAACAGG
rnacentral:rRNA from 1 species